rnacentral:rRNA from 1 species
GUGUGGGGCCAGACCACACUUAAUGUGCCCAAUCUCUUCUGACAGUGGAAGCUAAGCAGUGUCGGGGAUGGUUAGCACUUGAAUGGGAGUACAUGACAAAGUUUAACAACACUAUACA